UACGUAGGGUGCGAGCGUUAAUCGGAAUUACUGGGCGUAAAGCGUGCGCAGGCGGUUUGAUAAGCCAGAUGUGAAAUACCCGAGCUCAACUUGGGAACUGCGUUUGGAACUGUCAGACUAGAGUGCGUCAGAGGGGGGUGGAAUUCCGCGUGUAGCGGUGAAAUGCGUAGAGAUGUGGAGGAACACCGAUGGCGAAGGCAGCCCCCUGGGAUGACACUGACGCUCAUGCACGAAAGCGUGGGUAGCAAACAGG
rnacentral:rRNA from 1 species